GACGAACGCUGGCGGCGUGCUUAACACAUGCAAGUCGAACGAUGAAGCUGGAGCUUGCUCCGGUGGAUUAGUGGCGAACGGGUGAGUAACACGUGAGAAAUCUGCCCUUGACUCUGGGAUAACUGCGGGAAACUGUAGCUAAUACCGGAUAUUUUCCUUGGUGGGCAUCCACUGGGGAAGAAAGAAUUUCGGUCAAGGAUGAUCUCGCGGCCUAUCAGCUAGUUGGUGAGGUAAUGGCUCACCAAGGCGACGACGGGUAGCCGGCCUGAGAGGGUGACCGGCCACACUGGGACUGAGACACUGCCCAGACUCCUACGGGAGGCGGCAGUGGGGAAUAUUGCACAAUGGGCGCAAGCCUGAUGCAGCAACGCCGCGUGAGGGAUGAAGGCCUUCGGGUUGUAAACCUCUUUUAGCAGGGAAGAAGCGAAAGUGACGGUACCUGCAGAAAAAGCACCGGCUAACUACGUGCCAGCAGCCGCAGUAA
rnacentral:rRNA from 1 species